CUGACUAGCAGUGGGGAAGUGUGUCUUUUGGAGAUUCAUAGUGAGCUCAGGAUACAGCAGAACUUCAGAAAGAUGCAUGCCUGCUGCCCUGCUGGAUUGGACAACCAACUUUUUGAUGCAAGGUAUUCUGUGUUGUUAGAUGGCCCACAGCACCCAAGAAAUUAUUAAUGCAUAUACUCUGGACAGGACCAAGACAACUUGCAAGAUUUAUAAUAUUUAUUUUUUCAGCACAUUGAAAGAUUAUUUCUUCAACUCAGGACCUAUGAUGGUUUUAGUUGUGAUUUUCUUAAAGCUUCUUUAAUUCACUACCAUUUCACAGGUGUUGUGGUUUUUUUUUUAGAUUCUUUUGCUUACUUUUGGACCCAUAUGGAUUAAUUUCCAGUUGAUACAAUCAUAAUCAGGCUAUCUGAAUGCUAAUCUUUUUGUACUGCAUUGCUUUCCACUGUCUUCAUUGUUAACCUAGGUUAACCUCACUGCCACAGCUAUCCUUGCUUGUGUCUAAUUUACCCCCUUUUUUUGUUCUGCUACUGUGUUCAUUACUUCUCAGCUAGCCUACUGCACCUAAAAUAACUUAUCAGCUGUGUUCCUUUACAAUUAAGGAAAAAAAAAUCCCUCCUACAUCACUCAUGGACGAUAAAAAUGGCCUUGUAUCAAGUUGACAAUUUAUUGCUUGUUUAUUCUCCUUUGUUUAUGUACAUUUAUCUCACUACAUCUUGAAGCAUUUAUUUUGUUGUUAAAAAAAUAAUUUUGUAUUUGAAUCUUUUGACAUGUAAUCUUCUCUUGAAAUAAUAUUGAAAAAACCCUGAUGGUUUCAAAAGAUCAAAUUCUGACCCCUGUAAUUAUACAACCCACCUGAUAUAACUUAGUGGUUUCUCACAAGGAAUAUGUAAUAGUGUAAACAAACAAAAUCACAAAUGCCGUAACGCUUUUGCCUUUGGAGAAAAAAGUGCAUGAAGGAAAAAUAGUAUAGAUGAGCCUAAACUGCAGUAUUUGUGCCCAGUGUUGUAAGUACGUAAACAUGCCUAUUUGUACACCAUUCAAGCAGAAAUGCAAAGAGAGCAUUACAUAAACCCUGCAUUACCAGCUAAAAAUAAAUAAACAAAUGAAAAAAAAACAAAAAAAACAAAAAAUCAAACCCCAUACGAAGAAGUUAUACUAAGAAGGAAGUAACUCCAAGACAAAAAGACAAUGUUAAAUUAAAGUAUGCAAAGUGAUUCUUCUCUCUAGUGGAAGAACUAUGACUCACCAACUUAAUGAUCUUUGGAGUUAGAAUUUCAACACCCUUCCACUUUCCUUCCGCUUUAUCAGAAUUUCAUCUCUUUGUACAGUGCUCUUUCAAAACUUUUUAGCAUGGAACUAACUAACAUUAAGCAAGCAUCUGUGCUCCAAUAAAGAAUAUCACUGCCUACCA